rnacentral:sRNA from 1 species
CACCGAAGCAACCAUGCUCAGUGAGCACCUG